rnacentral:lncRNA from 1 species
CUCAGGCCCUCUGCCCCGCAGCUGCAGGCCGGCGCGCUCUCCGCCCCAGCUGUGCCUCCCUAGCAGCGCGCAGCCGUCCAGGUGUCACCCAGGGAACAACUGUAGCCGAGAAAAGGCCAGCUGGGACGAGGUCGGGGUCGCUCCGGGUGAAAUGAGCAAGUCUGUGUUGUUGGAGAGUGAAAAAGCUGGCCAAAUCAUCUGCACAAUGUCCCUUGCCCAGCAGUUCUGUGUGAAAACCAAAAUCAUGCUUGGAAUUUCCAGAUUUCUCCAGUGCUUGCGGUAUUGAGUCAUUUCUCAAUAAAUGUCAAUAAAUUGUCAAUAAAUGUCAAUAAAUGGCU